GUAGGUGGCAAGCGUUGUCCGGGAAUUAUUGGGGCGUAAAGCGCGCGCAGGCGGUUCUUUAAGUCUGAUGUGAAAGCCACGGGCUCAACCGUGGAGGGUCAUUGGAAACUGGAGAACUUGAGUACAGAAGAGGAAAGCGGAAUUCCACGUGUAGCGGUGAAAUGCGUAGAGAUGUGGAGGAACACCAGUGGCGAAGGCGGCUUUCUGGUCUGUAACUGACGCUGAGGCGCGAAAGCGUGGGGAGCAAACAGGAUUAGAUACCCUGGUAGUCCACGCCGUAAACGAUGAGUGCUAAGUGUUAGGGGGUUUCCGCCCCUUAGUGCUGCAGCUAACGCAUUAAGCACUCCGCCUGGGGAGUACGGCCGCAAAGGCUGA
rnacentral:rRNA from 1 species